rnacentral:rRNA from 1 species
GACGAACCGUGCGAACGUUGUUCGGAAUCACUGGGCGUAAAGGGCGCGUAGGCGGCCCGCUAAGUCGAACGUGAAAUCCCCAGGCUCAACCUGGGAACUGCGUCCGAUACUGGCAGGCUUGAAUCCGGGAGAGGGAUGUGGAAUUCCAGGUGUAGCGGUGAAAUGCGUAGAUAUCUGGAGGAACACCGGUGGCGAAGGCGGCAUCCUGGACCGGUAUUGACGCUGAGGCGCGAAAGCUAGGGGAGCAAACGGG